GGACUACAAGGGUAUCUAAUCCCAUUCGCUACCCUGGCUUUCGUGUGUGAGCGUCAGAUUUAGGCCAGUGCGCUGCCUUCGCCUUUGGUGUUCCCCACGAUAUCAACGGAUUUCACCCCUACACCGUGAGUUCCACGCACCUCUCCUAACCUCGAGUCAUACCGUUUCUCUUGCGAGCCGUAGGUUGAGCCCACGGAUUUGACAAAAGACUAAUAUGACCGCCUUGACACCCUUUACGCCCAGUGAUUCCGGAUAAUGCUUGGGGCCUCUGUAUUACCGCGGCUGCUGGCAC
rnacentral:rRNA from 1 species